rnacentral:tRNA from 7 species
GCGGAUGUGGCGGAAUUGGUAGACGCACUGGAUUUAGGUUCCAGCGCCGCAAGGUGUGAAGGUUCGAGUCCUUUCAUCCGCACCA